CUGGCAGUGAGGAUACAUCUGUCUGAUCUUCAUGACGAGAAUAAUCAACCUCCUACUCAUUCUGA
rnacentral:snoRNA from 1 species